UGGAAUUCCAGCUGGCUGCAUGCAUAGCUCAAAUGAGAGGCAGCCAGGAGCUGUAAGAGAUGCUACCAUUGCAGGCAAGGAGAGCCUCAGAAUCCUGGACCCAUCUCUGCCCUGUCCUCAGCAGGGGCUUUAAUCUGAGCUUACUUAGACAUCACCAGGAAAACAAGAGGACUAAGUGCAAGGCUUAAAACUGCAAGCCUGGAGCCUGAGAGAGUUCUGCCUUUUGGAGUAGGAACACAUGGAACAGCACUAUGCCAGACGACACCAUGCAGCAUCUUGCAAUGUCAAUAACAGUAAAGAUGAAGAAAUGUGAUUGGAACUGCCAAUGAGAAGCCAAGCAUGCAGAAUUUUGUCAAUUCACAUAGCUCUGAUCCUAGGACAAGGAUGUCAGACUAUCUGCAGGCAGAACCAGCACUUCACCACUGGUGUGCAG
ensembl:lncRNA